AAGUGAGGCGUGGCAUCGAGAGGCAGCUUCAAGAGCACGAGAUGCUUCUCAACACGAAGAUGAGGCUGGAGCAGGAAAUAGCCACGUACCGCCGCCUGCUAGAACAGGAAGAGAUCAGGUAUUACGGUUGUAUCCAAGGAGAGAGAAAAGAAGACAAGCCCGCCAAAAGUAAAGUUGGCUUUCUUCUCCCCUCAGCGGUUAUAAUAUGGCGAUACAUUUAGUGCAGUCACCCGCCACGUUAGUGCUGGGCCUUGUAUAUCAACCGCUUGCUAGAGAAAUCCCCCUGUGCCGCAGUUAUGUGUGUAACAUGCAGUACUUGAAUUCCUAAAUGAGUUUGCUUCUGUUUGCUUUGAGGCAUUUUAAAAAUCAGAAUAUGAGUUUACCAAAGUAAAUGAUACCACCAUAAUAAAAAAAAAAAUUAAACAUG
rnacentral:lncRNA from 1 species